rnacentral:rRNA from 1 species
AAUCAACGCUGGCGGCGUGCCUAACACAUGCAAGUCGCACGAGAAAGGGGAGCAAUCCCUGAGUAAAGUGGCGCACGGGUGAGUAACACGUGAAUUAUCUACCUCCGAGUGGGGAAUAACUGAGAGAAAUCUUAGCUAAUACCGCAUAACACUUACGAGUCAAAGCAGCAAUGCGCUUGGAGAGGAGUUCGCGGCCGAUUAGUUAGUUGGCGGGGUAAUGGCCCACCAAGACGAUGAUCGGUAUCCGGCCUGAGAGGGCGCACGGACACACUGGAACUGAAACACGGUCCAGACUCCUACGGGAGGCAGCAGUGGGGAAUUUUGCGCAAUGGGGGAACCCUGACGCAGCAACGCCGCGUGGAGGAUGAAGUAUCUUGGUACGUAAACUCCUUUCGAUGGGAAGAUAAUGACGGUACCAAUAGAAGAAG